GCAUAUAUAGCUCAGUGGUACAGCACCUGCCUGGCAAGCACUGCAGAGUUCUGAGUUCAAAUCCUAGUGUGUGUG
rnacentral:tRNA from 1 species